AUAUGUGCUCUGGUUUGUGCUGUGUGGAGAAAAUACCAUGUCUGGUCUUCUCAAUUGGCACGCCUCCUGGCUCAGGCACCACUGGACUCCAAUGUUCAGAAAACGGACAGUUCUCAUGUUGAGCUCAUCUGCAUUAAAGAAUCAGAAGCAAAUAGCAUCUACCCUAGGAUCCACGCUCAGAGGAUCUGUCUGCUUGCUGGUGUCUUGCCCUGGCCUCCCCUGGGUGCUGUUUGCCUGCCCAGGUCACUGAGACCAGCAGAUCCUUCUAUGCUUUGCUGAACCUGGCUGGUAAUAGCUAUCUGACUCUUCAAUUCUUCCAUACAUUGAACUAGUUGCUCCAGUGAAUCACUUUUCUGGCCCACCGUGUUCUGUCUCUGCCUCUCUGUCUCUCUCAUAUAAUUCAGCAAAUAUUUUAAAACAAAUAGCUGGCCGGGCAUGGUGGCUCAUACCUGUAAUCCAAGCACUUUGGAGGCCAAGGCGGGCGGAUCACCUGAGGUCGGGAGUUCAAGACCAGCCUGACCAACACGGUGAAACUCCGUCUUUAAAAAAAACAAAAAACAGAAAAACAAAUAGCUUUAUAUGAACAAAGGGGCUAGAUCAUGAACUGCUCUAGUUAUUUGGAAAUCUAGGUUCUGGUCCUGCUAUCUCUUUAACUUGAGUUAUUUACAAGUCUGUUUAAAGGUUUCUAGACAUACAUUAGUUUGGUUUUUGUUUGGCUAUCAUUUUGUUUUCCACUUCUAAUGGUAUUGCAUCGUGGUGAGA